UAGAGAUGCACUGACCUUCCUUGCAAGAGCCUUUCCCUGAACUUGGGCUCCUGAGAGAAGCUCUGAACAUGGCUAUCCCUGCCUUUUCAUCUUGGCAGUAGAUUUCUUCAGCAGCUGCUCUACAAAUAUGCAAUGGACCCUUUAAGAAUUUCUCCUUUACAGUGAGCACAAUGCUAAGCUUUGUCAGCAGAUGCCACUGGAGCAGCAUUGCAGAAGAAAGCGAGUUUCUCUUCCUGAUUCUGGUGUGCUACUUUUCUUCUUCUUGCUCCAGCUGCAUUAUCUAUCAGUGGUACUAUGUAUAAGACCAUCCCGCUGUGCCCUGCCACACCACCUGCUCAGAGGCACAGUCUCUCACUGACUAUUUGGCCUGAUUCUGAGCCUGUGGCCACCUUCUCACAGUCCUGCAACACAGGCACUGUGUGCUCCAGGCCUCAUGUCCCCAGCAGUGGCCUGACUGUGCACUUAGCCACAGCCUCAGUUUGCCUGUGCUCCAAGAAAUUGCAUCCUAUUUGCCCAGCAGCUAUGGACCAGCUCU
rnacentral:lncRNA from 1 species